rnacentral:lncRNA from 1 species
CUUAGUUCCAAAGGGAGGAAUACUUCCACCAGGAAACAAAAUGAUUCCAUUGAACCUGAAGUUAAGAGUGCCACCCAGUCAUCUGGGGCUCCUCAUGCCUCUAAAUUAACUGCCAAAGAAAGUUAUCAUGCUGGCUGGAAUGAUUGAUACUGGUCUGGCUGGAUUAUCAAGGAGAAAUUAGACUGCUACUCCACAAUGGAGGAGCCUUUUAGGUAUCAUCUCAUGAAAGUGUUUGGAGUGCUACCCAUAGCCACCUAAGACAAGUGAUGGAGGACGGAGCAGAUACCAGAUGGUCCUAAAGGUCUGGGAAUGAGGUGGCUACUGAGGUAGACUCUUGAGGAAGUAAAGGCACUGCACAUAAUGAGUAAUCUGGAGUGUAAAGUCUACACCCAAAGAUAAAUACAUUCUCAUAAAAAGAACUGACAGUGCCCUAGACUUGCAACUCUGGGUAUCUUUGGGCAUGGAGCUUCAUGAAAGCUAAGGCUGAGUUAUAGGUGGGCUGUCUAAACAAUAAAGUAUUGUACCAGCUCAGGGCCAAUAUGAAAAGACCAAAAUCUUUUUUUUGUUGUUUUUUGUUUUGGCUCCAGGCAUUUAAGGAAAUCUCUAUCAGGUCACAGGUCAAAUGAGGAAAUAAUGAAACAGAUUGCAAGACUAUGUACAAUAAAGAAUGCGG